rnacentral:rRNA from 1 species
GACGAACCGUGCGAACGUUGUUCGGAUUCACUGGGCUUAAAGGGCGCGUAGGCGGACCCAAAAGUCCGGGGUGAAAUCUUUCGGCUUAACCGGAAAAUCGCCUUGGAUACUGCGGGUCUCGAGGGAGGUAGGGGCAUGCGGAACUUCCGGUGGAGCGGUGAAAUGCGUUGAUAUCGGAAGGAACUCCGGUGGCGAAAGCGGCGUGCUGGAUCUCUUCUGACGCUGAGGCGCGAAAGCCAGGGGAGCAAACGGG